UACGACUACAUAUCAGGCAUAUCAAUAAGCGGAGGAAAAGAGACUAACUAGGAUUCCCUCAGUAACGGCGAGUGAAGCGGGAAGAGCUCAAAUUUGAAAUCUUCAAGGUUUUACCUUGACGAUUGUAGUUUAAAGAAGUGUUUUCUGUUGGAGUUUUGGUAAAAGUUCUUUGGAAUAGGACAUCAUAGAGGGUGAGAAUCCCGUAUUUGACCAUUACUUUCCAGCUUUGUGAUACACUUUCAAGAGUCGGAUUGUUUGGGAAUGCAGUCCAAAAUGGGUGGUAAAUUUCAUCUAAAGCUAAAUAUUGGCGAGAGACCGAUAGCGAACAAGUACCGUGAGGGAAAGAUGAAAAGAACUUUGAAAAGAGAGUUAAACAGUACGUGAAAUUGUCAAAAGGGAAGCGUUUGACACCAGUGUUGUUUCUACGAAAAUCAAUUUAUGAUGGCUUGAUGCUAAGCUUUAAGACUUUAUCCGCUUGUUGUUUAGUUUUCUUGUCUUUGUGAAUGCACUUUUCGUGGAACAAGUCAACAUCAAUUUCUUUUGCUGUAAAAGGGUAAGAGGAAGGUGGCUUCGGCUUCGGUUGAAGUGUUUAUAGCCUUUUAUCUCUGCAGUCGGAGAGAUUGAGGUCUGCAGCGUAGACUCUUCGGGGUUAGAUACGUCGGUGCUAAGCUAUAGCUUUUCAUAGACAACUUGUUGACUAUGUUUAGUCAUGUGGCUUACCCGCUGGCGCUAUUUUACCUACGCUUAGGAUGUUGACACACGCGCGUGCUCG
rnacentral:rRNA from 1 species